CUAGGAGAACCGAAAACAGUUCUAGACAGACCUGCGGUUUUAUAGCAGUUUUGGCAGUCAACUUCAGCUUGUGUCUGAGCAGUGGGGCCACGGUGGCCCACCAGCUGGGGGACGCCAAGCUACCUCCCCAGGCAGAAUACAGCCCCUCUCUUAAUUAGAUCGGUUUCCCUGGUGCCAGGGGAAAGGAGUUCUUGCAGAAAGG
ensembl:misc_RNA